rnacentral:rRNA from 1 species
AUUGAACGCUGGCGGCAGGCUUAACACAUGCAAGUCGAGCGGGGAAAGGUAGCUUGCUACCUAACCUAGCGGCGGACGGGUGAGUAAUGCUUAGGAAUCUGCCUAUUAGUGGGGGACAACAUUCCGAAAGGAAUGCUAAUACCGCAUACGCCCUACGGGGGAAAACAGGGGAUCUUCGGACCUUGCGCUAAUAGAUGAGCCUAAGUCAGAUUAGCUAGUUGGUGGGGUAAAGGCCUACCAAGGCGACGAUCUGUAGCGGGUCUGAGAGGAUGGUCCGCCACACUGGGACUGAGACACGGCCCAGACUCCUACGGGAGGCAGCAGUGGGGAAUAUUGGACAAUGGGCGAAAGCCUGAUCCAGCCAUGCCGCGUGUGUGAAGAAGGCCUUUUGGUUGUAAAGCACUUUAAGCGAGGAAGAGGCUACUUGGAUUAAUACUCUAGGAUAGUGGACGUUACUCGCAGAAUAAGCACCGGCUAACUCUGUGCCAGCCGCCGCCGUAAAAC